rnacentral:rRNA from 1 species
UACGUAGGGGGCAAGCGUUGUCCGGAUUUAUUGGGCGUAAAGAGCGUGUAGGCGGUUUGGUAGGUCCGCUGUGAAAACUCGAGCUCAACCUCGAGACGCCGGUGGAAACCAUCAGACUAGAGUCCGGAAGAGGAGAGUGGAAUUCCUGGUGUAGCGGUGAAAUGCGCAGAUAUCAGGGAGAACACCCGUGGCUAAGGCGGCUCUCUAGUACGGUACUGACGCUGAGACGCGAAAGCGUGGGGAGCGAACAGG